GACGAACGCUGGCGGCGUGCUUAACACAUGCAAGUCGAACGGAAAGGCCCUGCUUUUGUGGGGUGCUCGAGUGGCGAACGGGUGAGUAACACGUGAGUAACCUGCCCUUGACUUUGGGAUAACUUCAGGAAACUGGGGCUAAUACCGGAUAGGAGCUCCUGCUGCAUGGUGGGGGUUGGAAAGUUUCGGCGGUUGGGGAUGGACUCGCGGCUUAUCAGCUUGUUGGUGGGGUAGUGGCUUACCAAGGCUUUGACGGGUAGCCGGCCUGAGAGGGUGACCGGCCACAUUGGGACUGAGAUACGGCCCAGACUCCUACGGGAGGCAGCAGUGGGGAAUAUUGCACAAUGGGCGGAAGCCGGAUGCAGCAACGCCGCGUGCGGGAUGACGGCAUUCGGGUUGUAAACAGCUUUCGCCUGUGACGAAGCGUGAGUGACGGUAAUGGGUAAAGAAGCACCGGCUAACUACGU
rnacentral:rRNA from 1 species